UGUCAUCUGAAUUAAAACUUUUCAUCAAAAUUCACUUAAUUUAUGUUCCAAAUGCCAGCUUAACAAUGAAAGUCAUUUUACUAAAUUCUUCAUUAUUUUCAAAAUGAAUUGAUAUAAAAGAAGUGUAUUUCAACUGAAAUGUAGUAACGAAAGGCUUUAAAAAAAUAUU